UGGGGAAUAUUGCACAAUGGGCGCAAGCCUGAUGCAGCCAUGCCGCGUGUGUGAAGAAGGCCUCGGUUGUAAAGCACUUUCAGCGAGGAGGAAGGUGGUGAACUUAAUACGUUCAUCAAUUGACGUUACUCGCAGAAGAAGCACCGGCUAACUCCGUGCCAGCAGCCGCGGUAAUACGGAGGGUGCAAGCGUUAAUCGGAAUUACUGGGCGUAAAGCGCACGCAGGCGGUUUGUUAAGUCAGAUGUGAAAUCCCCGGGCUCAACCUGGGAACUGCAUUUGAAACUGGCAAGCUAGAGUCUCGUAGAGGGGGGUAGAAUUCCAGGUGUAGCGGUGAAAUGCGUAGAGAUCUGGAGGAAUACCGGUGGCGAAGGCGGCCCCCCUGGACGAAGACUGACGCUCAGAUGCGAAAGCGUGGGGAGCAAAACAGAUUAGAUACCCUGGUAGUCCACGCUGU
rnacentral:rRNA from 1 species